AUGAACCUCCUUCGGGAGGGGAUUAGUGGCGAACGGGUGAGUAACACGUGGGCAAUCUGCCCUGCACUCUGGGACAAGCCCUGGAAACGGGGUCUAAUACCGGAUACUGAUCAUCUUGGGCAUCCUUGGUGAUCGAAAGCUCCGGCGGUGCAGGAUGAGCCCGCGGCCUAUCAGCUUGUUGGUGAGGUAAUGGCUCACCAAGGCGACGACGGGUAGCCGGCCUGAGAGGGCGACCGGCCACACUGGGACUGAGACACGGCCCAGACUCCUACGGGAGGCAGCAGUGGGGAAUAUUGCACAAUGGGCGAAAGCCUGAUGCAGCGACGCCGCGUGAGGGAUGACGGCCUUCGGGUUGUAAACCUCUUUCAGCAGGGAAGAAGCGAAAGUGACGGUACCUGCAGAAGAAGCGCCGGCUAACUACGUGCCAGCAGCCGCGGUAAUACGUAGGGCGCGAGCGUUGUCCGGAAUUAUUGGGCGUAAAGAGCUCGUAGGCGGCUUGUCGCGUCGGUUGUGAAAGCCCGGGGCUUAACCCCGGGUCUGCAGUCGAUACGGGCAGGCUAGAGUUCGGUAGGGGAGAUCGGAAUUCCUGGUGUAGCGGUGAAAUGCGCAGAUAUCAGGAGGAACACCGGUGGCGAAGGCGGAUCUCUGGGCCGAUACUGACGCUGAGGAGCG
rnacentral:rRNA from 1 species